UGGGGAAUAUUGGACAAUGGGCGCAAGCCUGAACCAGCCAUGCCGCGUGCAGGAUGAAGCAUCUAUGGUGUGUAAACUGCUUUUGUACGGGAAGAAACCACCCCUCGUGAGGGGUAUUGACGGUACCGUAAGAAUAAGGAUCGGCUAACUCCGUGCCAGCAGCCGCGGUAAUACGGAGGAUCCAAGCGUUAUCCGGAAUCAUUGGGUUUAAAGGGUCCGUAGGCGGUUUAGUAAGUCAGUGGUGAAAGCCCAUCGCUCAACGAUGGAACGGCCAUUGAUACUGCUAGACUUGAAUUAUUAGGAAGUAACUAGAAUAUGUAGUGUAGCGGUGAAAUGCUUAGAUAUUACAUGGAAUACCAAUUGCGAAGGCAGGUUACUACUUGUGGAUUGACGCUGAUGGACGAAAGCGUGGGGAGCGAACA
rnacentral:rRNA from 1 species